rnacentral:sRNA from 1 species
CAAAAAAGAUCAAAGGCGGCAAACGCGGCAUCCCGUCGCAUCGCCUUUGUAACCCGCAUCAAGCGGG